rnacentral:misc_RNA from 1 species
GAUGAAGAACGUAGCGAAAUGCGAUAAGUAAUGUGAAUUGCAGAAUUCAGUGAAUCAUCGAAUCUUUGAACGCACCUUGCGCCCAUCAGUAUUCUGUUGGGCAUGCCUGUCCGAGCGUCAUUUCAACCCUCAGGGCCCGUUCGCGGGAACUGGUGUUGGGGAUCGGCCUCCCCCCGGAGGCCGGCCCCGAAAUGCAGUGGCGGCUCUACCGCGAUCUCCUCUGUGUAGUAGCGAUACCUCGCAGCUGGAUAGUGGUGGUGCCACGCCGUAAAAUCCCAACUUUACCAAGGUUGACCUCGGAUCAGGUAGGAAUACCCGCUGAACUUAAGCAUAUCAAUAAGCGGAGGA